rnacentral:tRNA from 1 species
GCCUCAGUGGUGAAGAAUCUGCCUGCCAAGCAGACGACUCAGGUUCAAUUCCUGA